GAGUGUGUUUUAGAAAUGUGUUGCAUUUAAGGAAAUCGGAAAAAUAGAUGUCAUAUUUCAUUCAAGCAUUUACUGGUGACAAAACAUUUAUGGAAUGAGCUGCAAAUGCGCACAAAAUUAUGGCAAAACUCAUGGGUUAUAUUUUGUGCUUUAUAUAGAAGUAAAUAAAAACAAAACCAAUAUGAAAAUAGUGCUUUUAUAAAGUUUUGAAGUCAGUGCUGUACAACAAAAUUGAAGUGAACACUCGGCAUGUUGUCAGUGUUUUCACAGAAGCCUUUUAAAUGCGUCACACGCUUCCCUGAUCCACACCUGGACUACUUAGGGUAAUCAGUACAUGUGCCAUCUAACAUUUUGUUUAGUUGGGAGUUCCGUCCAGUUUAGUUGCAGAGGACACGUAGAGGUGAGCGUGUUUAAUUAUUUUUUUGUUAUUUGAAAAUAAGUGUUCAGUCUGUUCUUUGUUCUUCAUCACUUUUAUUUACUUCUAAUCUUUUCUUUUCUAGAAGAUGGCUCACUGUUCCCCUGCAAAGUUCACAGUGUUCUCCAAUCCUGAACUCCACUGUUUGAAGCAAGAGGCUCAGGUCGCUUGCUACCUUGUGAAUGAUGGUGUCAGUACCAGAGAAGACGUCUUCAAAAAUGUGUCAUGUCUUUGACAAGACAUUUACUGCUUUAUCUCAAAGGGAGAGUGCAAGGUGGAAUUUCUUAAGGAACAGUUGGAGAAAGCUGAAAGGCAAUAUUCAAAUGUUCAAAAGGAUUUGGACAUUUUGCAUGCGUGUGCGGCAUUUUUUGAUGACGAAAAAAAAGAUUUCUUCACUCAGACUGAAGAUUUUUCUGUGGAUGAUGUUGUUGAAGGCUUGAUGGAAGCAGAGGCAACGUGUGAUCAAGAUAAUAAACGUAGUGACAUUUUUUCUGUAAAUAGUUUUGGUGUGAAUUUGUUUUUUGGUGGGUUUUUACUAUUAUAACUUAAGUUUUUUUAUAAUAAAAGUUGUUUGGUGUGGAGUUUUCUGUUUAGUAAUUGGUUUGGUUUUUAAAAUAUUUGUGUAAUAUUAUAAAAGAACAUCGUCUUUCAAGGUUGGAAACAACUGUUUUUAAGUCAAGCAUUUUAGUUUCAGGGACGGAUAAAGUGAGAUAUUUCCAGAUUAGUGAGUUUUUCAUAAAUGGUGAGAGAUUAACUGUUUGAAGAGUUUUUUUUAUGUAGGAUUGGCCAUUUUUUUGUGAAUGUUAAGUAUGUAGUGCAUAUGAAUAGCUGUUCAUAAUCUUGUGGAUAUUUCUAAUUUCAUUAUGGAAUAGGAUUUAGUUCAGGACAUUUUCUAGGUGGUUUCUUUGUUGACUGGGGAUCUAUUUUUUGAGUGGUGUAAAGAAGUUUUUACGAAGGAUUAGUAGAUCACAGCAGGUAAUGGAACAAAUUCAUUAGUAAUUUUCACAAUGUUUUACAAUCAUUUCUAAAAUAAUUUUAAUAUUAGAAACAUUAUUCAUAAACCAUUUUUAAGAGGGUUAAAAUCUAGCUGGUACAUUCUUAUUAGGUGGUAGGUUUUGUAAUGCACUUUAAAGGUACCGUAAUGUUUUAUGGAAAAUGGGUUAGAUCAACCAACAAA